rnacentral:rRNA from 1 species
GACGAACGCUGGCGGCGUGCUUAACACAUGCAAGUCGAACGAAGAGCGACGGAAGCUUGCUUCUAUCAAUCUUAGUGGCGAACGGGUGAGUAACGCGUAAUCAACCUGCCCUUCAGAGGGGGACAACAGUUGGAAACGACUGCUAAUACCGCAUACGAUCUAACCUCGGCAUCGAGGAUAGAUGAAAGGUGGCCUCUACAUGUAAGCUAUCACUGAAGGAGGGGAUUGCGUCUGAUUAGCUAGUUGGAGGGGUAACGGCCCACCAAGGCGAUGAUCAGUAGCCGGUCUGAGAGGAUGAACGGCCACAUUGGGACUGAGACACGGCCCAGACUCCUACGGGAGGCAGCAGUAGGGAAUCUUCCGCAAUGGACGAAAGUCUGACGGAGCAACGCCGCGUGAGUGAUGACGGCCUUCGGGUUGUAAAGCUCUGUUAAUCGGGACGAAAGGCCUUCUUGCGAAUAGUGAGAAGGAUUGACGGUACCGGAAUAGAAAGCCACGGCUAACUACGUG